UCGACCUCGGAUCAGGUAGGAAUACCCGCUGAACUUAAGCAUAUCAAUAAGCGGAGGAAAAGAAACCAACAGGGAUUGCCUCAGUAACGGCGAGUGAAGCGGCAACAGCUCAAAUUUGAAAUCUGGCUCCAGGGCCCGAGUUGUAAUUUGCAGAGGAUGCUUCGGCGACGGUCCCAGUCCAAGUGCCUUGGAACAGGACGUCAUGGAGGGUGAGAAUCCCGUACGUGACUGGCGGCCGCCGCCGGGUGAAGCUCCUUCGACGAGUCGAGUUGUUUGGGAAUGCAGCUCUAAAUGGGUGGUAAAUUUCAUCUAAAGCUAAACAUUGGCCGGAGACCGAUAGCGCACAAGUAGAGUGAUCGAAAGAUGAAAAGCACUUUGAAAAGAGAGUUAAACAGUACGUGAAAUUGUUGAAAGGGAAGCGUUGGCGACCAGACGUGACGCCUGGGGCUCAACCAUGAUUCUUCACGGUGUACUCCCCAGAGGUCAGGCCAGCAUCGGUCUCGACGGUCGGACAAAGGCCCUGCGAACGUAGCUCCCUCCGGGGAGUGUUAUAGCGCAGGGAGCCAUGCGACCUGUUGGGACUGAGGAACGCGCUUCGGCCCGGAUGCUGGCGUAAUGGUCGUCAACGACCCGUCUUGAAACACGGACCAAGGAGUCUAACAUCUAUGCGAGUGUUUGGGUGUCAAACCCACACGCGGAAUGAAAGUGAACGGAGGUGGGAACCCUUCCGGGCGCACCAUCGACCGAUCCAGAUGUCUUCGGAUGGAUUUGAGUAAGAGCAUAGCUGUUGGGACCCGAAAGAUGGUGAACUAUGCCUGAAUAGGGUGAAGGCAAGGGAAACCUUGCUGGAGGCUCGCAGCGGUUCUGACGUGCAAAUCGAUCGUCAAAUUUGGGCAUAGGGGCGAAAGACUAAUCGAACCAUCUAGUAGCUGGUUCACGUCGAAGUUUCCCUCAGGAUAGCA
rnacentral:rRNA from 1 species